UAGAUUCUCGGCGUACCGCUCAGUAACACGUGGGUAACCUGCCCUAUGCUGGAUAAUAACCUCGGGAAACUGAGAAUAAUGAUCCAUAGUUCACUACGCCUGGAACGGUGAGUGGAUGAAAGCUCCGGCGGCAUAGGAUGGGCCUGCGGCGUAUCAGGUUGUAGGGGGUGUAACGUACCCUCUAGCCCUCUACGCGUACGGGUGUUGGGGGACAUAGCCCGGAGAUGGAUUCUGAGACACGAAUCCAGACCCUACGGGGUGCAGCAGGCGCGAAAACUUGGCAAUGCGAGAAAUCGUGACCAGGGAACUCCAAGUGCAUCGGGUAAGACCGGUGCUUUUCUUGACUCUAAAUAGGUCUUGGAAUAAGGGGUGGGUAAGGACGGUGCCAGCCGCCGCGGUAAUACCGGCGCCUCAAGUGGUAGUCGCUUUUAUUGGGCCUAAAACGUCCGUAGCCGGUCUGAUACAUUCGUGGGUAAAUCAACCAGCUCAACUGGUUGAAUUCUGCGUGGACGGUCAGACUUGGGACCGGGAGAGGUGUGGGGUACGCUCAGGGUAGGGGUAAAAUCCUGUCAUCCUGAGCGGACCACCUGUUGCGAAGGCGCCACACUAGAACGGAUCCGACGGUCAGGGACGAAGCCUAGGGGCACGAACCGGAUUAGAUACCCGGGUAGUCCUAGGUGUAAACGCUGUGGACUUGAUGUUGGGGGUGCUCCGAGCACUCUCAGUGUCGAAGCGAAGGUGAUAAGUCCACUGCCUGGGAAGUACGGUCGCAAGGCUGAAACUUAAAGGAAUUGGCGGGGGAGCACCGCAACCUGAGGAUUGUGCGGUUUAAUUGGAUUCAACGCCGGG
rnacentral:rRNA from 1 species